UAUGGCAGACUAGUGCAAUGGACUUAAACUCCUUUCAUAAAGAAAUAAUUCUUUUAUUAAAA
rnacentral:tRNA from 1 species